rnacentral:rRNA from 1 species
UACGUAGGUGGCAAGCGUUGUCCGGAUUUACUGGGCGUAAAGAGCGCGCAGGCGGUCGUGCAAGUCGCGUGUGAAAGCCCCCGGCUCAACUGGGGAGGGUCACGCGAUACUGCUCGACUCGAAGGCAGGAGAGGGAAGUGGAAUUCCCGGUGUAGUGGUGAAAUGCGUAGAUAUCGGAAGGAACAUCAGUGGCGAAAGCGGCUUCCUGGACCAGCACCGACGUCAGGCACGAAAGCGUGGGGAGCAAACAGGA